CCCUUAGAUGUUCUGGGCUGCACGCGCGCUACACUGUCGGAUUCAGCGAGUCAUAUCCUUAACCGAAAGGUUUGGGUAAUCUUUUGAAAGUCCGACGUGAUGGGGAUUGAUCAUUGCAAUUAUUGAUCAUGAACGAGGAGUUCCUAGUAAGCGCGAGUCAUCAGCUCGCGUUGAUUACGUCCCUGCCCUUUGUACACACCGCCCGUCGCUACUACCGAUUGAAUGGUUUAGUGAGAUCUUCGGAUUGGCGCCUACGCGGCUUCUCUGAGGCCACGCUGGAUGCCGAAAAGUUGCUCAAACUGUAUCAUUUAGAGGAAGUAAAAGUCGUAACA
rnacentral:rRNA from 1 species